GUCAUGAGAUGUCAAUGCUGUUAACUUGGAAAAAACAGCUUGUCAUUACAACUGAGAAUUUACUGGAACAGUCUGACUGCAAUAUUUCAGACUUUCAAGAAGUUAAGAUCACACCAGGACAUACUUAAAAGCAUUACAAUGGCUUCGAUUAACAAAUGUUUCAAAUGGACCUUCAUCGUCUUCAAUGCACUUUUCGUUCUGACAGGUGCUGGGAUUGUUGUACGGGUAAAUGUUUCAAGGACUAUGGCAAUGAGAGAGGGAUAUUGGAAUUUCUGGCCAGCAUCCCUGUUUGGGGGACUUAUAGCAGGGAUCUCCUUCGUGGGAGCCUGCGGUGCAUACAGAGAGAAGAGACGGCUUCUAAUCUUGUUUUCUGUUCUUGUGAGCAUUGGCAUGAUCAUUUGUCUGAUGGGGCUGUUUUCUCCAUUGGCACAAAGCAUAUG